UGAAAGUGAUUGGACUUUAAGACCU
rnacentral:piRNA from 1 species